rnacentral:rRNA from 1 species
CGCAUCUGUGCAUGCAGCAUAUCAAUAAGCGGAGGAAAAGAAACUAACAAGGAUUCCCUUAGUAACGGCGAGUGAAGCGGGAAGAGCUCAAAUUUGAAAUCUUCAAGGUUUUACCUUGACGAAUUGUAGUUUAAAGAAGUGUUUUCUGUUGAAGUUUUGGUAAAAGUUCUUUGGAAUAGGACAUCAUAGAGGGUGAGAAUCCCGUAUUUGACCAUUAUUUUCAGCUGUGUGAUACACUUUCAAAGAGUCGGAUUGUUUGGGAAUGCAGUCCAAAAUGGGUGGUAAAUUUCAUCUAAAGCUAAAUAUUGGCGAGAGACCGAUAGCGAACAAGUACCGUGAGGGAAAGAUGAAAAGAACUUUGAAAAGAGAGUUAAACAGUACGUGAAAUUGUCAAAAGGGAAGCGUUUGACACCAGUGUUGUUUUCUCGAAAAUCAAUUAAAAAGAGUUAGAUUUUGUUGUGUAUUGACCUUAACAGCUUGCAUUUCAAUUUUCUUGCUUUUUUUAAUGCACUUUUCGUUUAACAAGUCAACAUCAGUUUCUUUUGUUGUAAAAGGGUCAUUGGAAGGUGGCUUUCUUUUCGGAGAAAGUGUUUAUAGCCUUUGACUCCUGCAAUCGGAGAGACUGAGGUCUGCAGCGUAGAUCCUUCGGGGUUAGAUACAUUUGUGCUAAGUUAUGGCUUUUUAUAGACAACUUGUUGACUAUGAUUAGUCUUGUAGCUUACUCGCUUAUGCUAUUUUACCUACGCUUAGGAUGUUGACACACGCGCGUGCUCG